UUAAGAUUGCAGUUUUAGCUAUCGUUGUUGUGCAAAAAGUGCCCUGUUGUGAAAAAAUUGGGACAUUUAUCACUUUUUCUUUAAAUGGCGCUGGACAAAUUGCACCGGAAUUGAUGUACUGGAUGCCGACACAGUUUAGUGUCCAUUUUUCAUGUAAAGGUAAUAAGAUGUCCAAGAUUAAAGGUAACGUUAAGUGGUUUAAUGAAUCUAAAGGAUUCGGUUUCAUUACUCCUGAAGAUGGCAGCAAAGAUGUAUUCGUACACUUCUCUGCAAUCGUGAGCAAUGGCUUCAAAACUCUGGCUGAAGGUCAGCGUGUAGAGUUUGAAAUUACUGACGGUGCUAAAGGCCCAUCUGCUGCUAACGUUAUCAGCCUGUAAUUUUCAGUCAGAAUCUCUAAAACCCGCCACUGGCGGGUUUUUUAUU
rnacentral:sRNA from 1 species